GAUGAACGCUGGCGGCGUGCUUAACACAUGCAAGUCGAACGAUGAAGCCCAGCUUGCUGGGUGGAUUAGUGGCGAACGGGUGAGUAACACGUGAGUAACCUGCCCUUAACUCUGGGAUAAGCCUGGGAAACUGGGUCUAAUACCGGAUAGGAGCGUCCACCGCAUGGUGGGUGUUGGAAAGAUUUAUCGGUUUUGGAUGGACUCGCGGCCUAUCAGCUUGUUGGGGAGGUAAUGGCUCACCAAGGCGACGACGGGUAGCCGGCCUGAGAGGGUGACCGGCCACACUGGGACUGAGACACGGCCCAGACUCCUACGGGAGGCAGCAGUGGGGAAUAUUGCACAAUGGGCGCAAGCCUGAUGCAGCGACGCCGCGUGAGGGAUGACGGCCUUCGGGUUGUAAACCUCUUUCAGUAGGGAAGAAGCGAAAGUGACGGUACCUGCAGAAGAAGCACCGGCUAACUACGUG
rnacentral:rRNA from 1 species